AAAGCGUGCGCAGGCGGUUUUGUAAGUCAGAUGUGAAAUCCCCGAGCUCAACUUGGGAACUGCGUUUGAAACUACAAGGCUAGAGUAUGGUAGAGGGGGGUAGAAUUCCACGUGUAGCAGUGAAAUGCGUAGAGAUGUGGAGGAAUACCAAUGGCGAAGGCAGCCCCCUGGGCCUGCACUGACGCUCAUGCACGAAAGCGUGGGGAGCAAACAGGAUUAGAUACCCGAGU
rnacentral:rRNA from 1 species